rnacentral:rRNA from 1 species
GACGAACGCUGGCGGCGUGCUUAACACAUGCCAGUCGAACGGAAAGGCCCUGCUUUUGUGGGGUGCUCGAGUGGCGAACGGGUGAGUAACACGUGAGUAACCUGCCCUUGACUUUGGGAUAACUUCAGGAAACUGGGGCUAAUACCGGAUAGGAGCUCCUGCUGCAUGGUGGGGGUUGGAAAGUUUCGGCGGUUGGGGAUGGACUCGCGGCUUAUCAGCUUGUUGGUGGGGUAGUGGCUUACCAAGGCUUUGACGGGUAGCCGGCCUGAGAGGGUGACCGGCGACAUUGGGCCUGAGAUACGGACCAGACUCCUACGGGAGGCAGCAGUGGGGAAUAUUGCACAAUGGGCGGAAGCCUGAUGCAGCAACGCCGCGUGCGGGAUGACGGCCUUCGGGUUGUAAACCGCUUUCGCCUGUGACGAAGCGUGAGUGACGGUAAUGGGUAAAGAAGCACCGGCUAACUACGUG